rnacentral:rRNA from 1 species
AUUGAACGCUGGCGGCAUGCUUUACACAUGCAAGUCGAACGGUAACAGGCCGCAAGGUGCUGACGAGUGGCGCACGGGUGAGUAAUGCAUCGGAACGUGCCCAGUCGUGGGGGAUAACUACUCGAAAGAGUAGCUAAUACCGCAUACGAUCUAUGGAUGAAAGCGGGGGACCGUAAGGCCUCGCGCGAUUGGAGCAGCCGAUGUCAGAUUAGGUAGUUGGUGGGGUAAAGGCUCACCAAGCCAACGAUCUGUAGCUGGUCUGAGAGGACGACCAGCCACACUGGGACUGAGACACGGCCCAGACUCCUACGGGAGGCAGCAGUGGGGAAUUUUGGACAAUGGGCGCAAGCCUGAUCCAGCAAUGCCGCGUGCAGGAAGAAGGCCUUCGGGUUGUAAACUGCUUUUGUACGGAACGAAACGGCUCUGGUUAAUACCCGGGGCUAAUGACGGUACCGUAAGAAUAAGCACCGGCUAACUACGUG